GACGAACGCUGGCGGCGUGCUUAACACAUGCAAGUCGAACGAUGAAGAAAGAAUUGAAGCUUCGGCAGAAAUUCAUUUCGGAUUAGUGGCAGACGGGUGAGUAACGCGUGAGCAACCUACCUCUUACAAAGGGAUAGCCUCGGGAAACCGGGAUUAAUACCAUAUAACAUUGCGACGAAGCAUUUCGAUGCAAUCAAAGCUACGGCGGUAAGAGAUGGGCUCGCGUCCCAUUAACCGGAUGGUGAGGUAACGGCUCACCAUAGUGACGAUGGGUAACCGGCCUGAGAGGGUGAACGGUCACACUGGAACUGAGACACGGUCCAGACUCCUACGGGAGCAG
rnacentral:rRNA from 1 species